rnacentral:rRNA from 1 species
GGGUUGUGAGGUUAAGCGACUAAGCGUACACGGUGGAUGCCCUGGCAGUCAGAGGCGAUGAAGGGCGUACUAAUCUGCGAUAAGCGCCGGUAAGGUGAUAUGAACCGUUAUAACCGGCGAUACCCGAAUGGGGAAACCCAGUGUGAUUCGUCACACUAUCAUUAACUGAAUCCAUAGGUUAAUGAGGCGAACCGGGGGAACUGAAACAUCUAAGUACCCCGAGGAAAAGAAAUCAACCGAGAUUCCCCCAGUAGCGGCGAGCGAACGGGGAGGAGCCCAGAGCCUGAAUCAGCAUGUGUGUUAGUGGAAGCGUCUGGAAAGGCGCGCGAUACAGGGUGACAGCCCCGUACACAAAAGCGCAUGUGCUGUGAGCUCGAUGAGUAGGGCGGGACACGUGGUAUCCUGUCUGAAUAUGGGGGGACCAUCCUCCAAGGCUAAAUACUCCUGACUGACCGAUAGUGAACCAGUACCGUGAGGGAAAGGCGAAAAGAACCCCAGCGAGGGGAGUGAAAAAGAACCUGAAACCGUGUACGUACAAGCAGUGGGAGCACCCUUUGGGUGUGACUGCGUACCUUUUGUAUAAUGGGUCAGCGACUUAUAUUCUGUAGCAAGGUUAACCGAAUAGGGGAGCCGGAGGGAAACCGAGUCUUAACCGGGCGUUAAGUUGCAGGGUAUAGACCCGAAACCCGGUGAUCUAGCCAUGGGCAGGUUGAAGGUUGGGUAACACUAACUGGAGGACCGAACCGACUAAUGUUGAAAAAUUAGCGGAUGACCUGUGGCUGGGGGUGAAAGGCCAAUCAAACCGGGAGAUAGCUGGUUCUCCCCGAAAGCUAUUUAGGUAGCGCCUCGUGAAUUCAUCUCCGGGGGUAGAGCACUGUUUCGGCUAGGGGGCCAUCCCGGCUUACCAACCCGAUGCAAACUGCGAAUACCGGAGAAUGUUAUCACGGGAGACACACGGCGGGUGCUAACGUCCGUCGUGAAGAGGGAAACAACCCAGACCGCCAGCUAAGGUCCCAAAGUCAUGGUUAAGUGGGAAACGAUGUGGGAAGGCCCAGACAGCCAGGAUGUUGGCUUAGAAGCAGCCAUCAUUUAAAGAAAGCGUAAUAGCUCACUGGUCGAGUCGGCCUGCGCGGAAGAUGUAACGGGGCUAAACCAUG